rnacentral:rRNA from 1 species
AGAGUUUGAUCCUGGCUCAGGAUGAACGCUAGCUACAGGCUUAACACAUGCAAGUCGAGGGGCAGCAUGAGGUCAGCUUGCUGACUUUGAUGGCGACCGGCGCACGGGUGAGUAACGCGUAUCCAACCUUCCCCUGUCUCGGGCAUAACCCGGUGAAAACCGGACUAAUUCCCGAUGUUGUUCCUUGACGGCAUCAGAUUGGAACCAAAGAUUUAUCGGACAGGGAUGGGGAUGCGUCUGAUUAGCUUGUUGGCGGGGUAACGGCCCACCAAGGCAACGAUCAGUAGGGGUUCUGAGAGGAAGGUCCCCCACAUUGGAACUGAGACACGGUCCAAACUCCUACGGGAGGCAGCAGUGAGGAAUAUUGCACAAUGGGGGAAACCCUGAUGCAGCGACGCCGCGUGAGUGAAGAAGUAUUUCGGUACGUAAAGCUCUAUCAGCAGGGAAGAAACACCGCCCUAUGGGCGCCGGACGGUACCUGACUAAGAAGCCCCGGCUAACUACGUGCCAGCAGCCGCGGUAAAACGUAGGUCACAAGCGUUGUCCGGAAUUACUGGGUGUAAAGGGAGCGCAGGCGGGAAGACAAGUUGGAAGUGAAAUCUAUGGGCUCAACCCAUAAACUGCUUUCAAAACUGUUUUUCUUGAGUAGUGCAGAGGUAGGCGGAAUUCCCGGUGUAGCGGUGGAAUGCGUAGAUAUCGGGAGGAACACCAGUGGCGAAGGCGGCCUACUGGGCACCAACUGACGCUGAGGCUCGAAAGUGUGGGUACCCUUAAAGGAUUAUGAUACCCUGGUAGUCCACACCGUAAACGACGGAUUAAAUGAGUGUUGGAGGAUUGACCUCCUUCAGUGCCGCAGUAAACACAAUAAGUAAUCCACCCUGGGGAGUACGACCGCAAGGUCGAAACUCAAAGGUAUUGACGGGGGCCCGCACCAGCAGUGGAGUAUGUGGUUUAAUUCGACGCAACGCGAAGAACCUUACCAAGUCUUGACAUCCCUUGUCGAUGCCGGAAACAGUAUUUCUCUUCGGAGCAAGGAGACAGGUGGUGCAUGGUUGUCGUCAGCUCGUGUCGUGAGAUGUUGGGUUAAGUCCCGCAACGAGCGCAACCCUCAUCCUUAGUCGCCAGCAGGUAGAGCUGGGCACUCUGAGGAGACUGCCAGGGAUAACCUGGAGGAAGGUGGGGAUGACGUCAAAUCAUCAUGCCCCUCAUGAUUUGGGCUACACACGUGCUACAAUGGCGUAAACAAAGGGAAGCGACCCUGCGAAGGUAAGCAAAUCUCAAAAAUAACGUCUCAGUUCGGAUUGUAGUCUGCAACUCGACUACAUGAAGCUGGAAUCGCUAGUAAUCGCGGAUCAGAAUGCCGCGGUGAAUACGUUCCCGGGUCUUGCACACACCGCCCGUCA